UACAGAGGGGGCAAGCGUUGUUCGGAAUUACUGGGCGUAAAGGGCGCGUAGGUGGCCCGCUAAGUCGAACGUGAAAUCCCCGAGCUCAACUCGGGAACUGCGUCCGAUACUGGUGGGCUUGAAUCCGGGAGAGGGAUGCGGAAUUCCAGGUGUAGCGGUGAAAUUCGUAGAUAUCGAGAGGAACACCGGUGGCGAAGGCGGCGAUCUGGACGAUGACUGACGCUGAGACGCGAAAGCGUGGGGAGCAAACAGG
rnacentral:rRNA from 1 species